rnacentral:rRNA from 1 species
CUGGCUCAGGAUGAACGCUGGCGGCGUGCCUAACACAUGCAAGUCGAACGAGGUUACUGAGAUUGGAGAUUCGUCAAAGAUCUUUUAACCGAGUGGCGGAUGGGUGAGUAACGCGUGGAGAACCUGCCUUAUCAGGGGGAUAACAACUGGAAACGGUUGACAAUACCGCAUACGCUCAUGAGAUCGCAUGAUCUUGUGAGGAAAGAUUUAUCGGAUAAGGAUGGCUCCGCGUCGGAUUAGCCAGUUGGCGGGGUAACGGCCCACCAAAGCGACGAUCCGUAGCCGGCCUGAGAGGGCGACCGGCCACAUUGGGACUGAGACACGGCCCAGACUCCUACGGGAGGCAGCAGGUGGGGGAUAUUGCACAAUGGGGGGAACCCUGAUGCAGCGACGCCGCGUGGAGGAAGAAGUAUUUCGGUAUGUAAACUCCUAUCAGCAGGGAAGAAAAUGACGGUACCUGACUAAGAAGCCCCGGCUAACUACGUGCCAGCCGCGGC